UAAGCGGAGGAGAAGAAACUAACCAGGAUUUCCCUAGUAACGGCGAGCGAACCGGAAAGAGCCCAGCUUGAAAAUCGUGGCGCCUCGCGCCUCGAAUUGUAGUCUGGAGAAGGUCCCUCUGCGGCGCGCCGGACCCAAGUUCCCUGGAAAGGGACGUCAUCGAGGGUGACAACCCCGUCCGCGCCCGGAACGCGUCGCUCCACGAGGACCUGUCUGCGAGUCGGGCUGUUUGGGAAUGCAGCCCUAAGUGGGAGGUAAAUUCCUUCCAAGGCUAAAUAUGGGCAAGAGACCGAUAGCGAACAAGUACCGCGAGGGAAAGAUGAAAAGGACUUUGAAAAGAGAGUUAAAAAGUGCUUGAAAUUGCUGGGAGGGAAGCGAAUGGAAGCUGCGGGUGCGCCCCGGUUGGAUGUGGAACGGCUUCGGCUGGUCCGCCGCUCAACGCGGGGCGCUGGUCAGCGUGGGCCAUGGCGCCGGGACAAGAGCGGGGAUUCGCUUCCCGCCUAUGCCGGUGCGGUGGCCGAGGAACGAAGCGCGCGCCGCUUCGGGUGGCGUGGGUUCGCCCAACUGCGCGCUCGGGACGCUGGCGUAUUGAGCUCUUCAUCCGACCCGUCUUGAAACACGGACCAAGGAGUCUAACAUGUAUGCGAGCCGGUGGGCGGCAAACCCAUUGAGGCGCAAGUAAACUGACAGGUGGGACCCCGACCGCAAGGGAGGGAGCACCAUCGACCGACCGUGAUCUUCUGUGAAAGGUUUGAGUGUGAGCAUACCUGUUGGGACCCGAAAGAUGGUGAACUAUGCCUGAGCAGGGCGAAGCCAGAGGAAACUCUGGUGGAGGCUCGUAGCGAUACUGACGUGCAAAUCGUUCGUCAGACUUGGGUAUAGGGGCGAAAGACUAAUCGAACCAUCUAGUAGCUGGUUCCCUCCGAAGUUUCCCUCAGGAUAGCUGGAGCUCGUGUACAAGUUUUAUCAGGUAAAGCGAAUGAUUAGAGGCAUCGGGGGUGUAACACCCUCGACCUAUUCUCAAACUUUAAAUAGGUAAGCCGCCGGGGUUGCUUGGUUGAACCCCGGCACAGAAUGAGAGCUCCAAGUGGGCCAU
rnacentral:rRNA from 1 species